rnacentral:rRNA from 1 species
UACAGAGGUGGCAAGCGUUGUUCGGAAUUACUGGGCGUAAAGGGCGCGUAGGCGGCCCGUCAAGUCCCGUGUGAAAGCCCCCGGCUCAACCGGGGAACGGCGCGGGAAACUAGCAGGCUUGAGUUCGGGAGAGGGAAGCGGAAUUCCGGGUGUAGCGGUGAAAUGCGCAGAUAUCCGGAGGAACACCGGUGGCGAAGGCGGGAUCCUGGGCCAGUACUGACGCGUGAGGAGCGAAAGCGUGGGGAGCAAACAGG